CUUUUAAUAUGGAAGUGGAGAUAAAGUUGAAUUUUAAUAUAUUUCGUGGGAAGAAGGGUAAUAGCUAACCGGAAAUCAAUCGUUAAAGAAAUGUCCGCAUCGAUCAUGGGGGAAGACCUGUGGUAAGAGUUGUGACGCAUUAAAAGAGGAAAUUCGACUCAACGGCAGAAUGACGACUGAUACAUUUCACACUACAAGGAUACUGUGUGCAUGGCGUCUGUUUACGUAUGGACGGCCCUGGCAGCGGAGUGUUGUUCCACGCCACCACUAGGUGGCUCCCAACUCAAGUGAUUUCUCGCGAGCAAAACGUGCUCCCUGGUAGAUAUAAGCCCGACCGAAACGAAGAACGAAACACUAUUGACCCGAAGAUUACAUACAAAAGAUGUAGAAGACGCAGGAUCUCUCGCACAUAUCUCUUUCAUUCGGAGCCGACAGAGGAGUUUCGCACACCUUUCUUGCUGCACAAACAGUCCAAGAUUGACCAGAAGGAAGGGAAUCUGUACAGAGGACUACAUGGACAACCUUCGAGUCCGGUAUCCACAUGAAUGGACCAGUACCUGUGCCUGAAGACUAUAAGGGUGAUAUUGGGUUCUGCAGAUAUUACUGGUUGGUGAAGGCUGCGUCAACGACACCAGGGGACAAACUCCAAAAAUGGCUUUCCGUUCCUGGAAGGACGUUUCAAUAGCGAACAACGUCACGUUCGCUACGACGCCAAGCUGCUGGUUCCGCGGAAAACCGAACAGUACUCCAGGGAGCGCGGGAAAACAGGACGCGACCGGGACGGAUGAGAGGACUCGCAAAAGUUCGACGCACGAACAAUUGAAAAUGCAAGAGUC